CGGUCGGGGUGCUCACACUCGGGCGGCCCCCAGCGGGUCGCCUGCGGCCGUCACGGUGGCGGAAUGAAAGCAGAAACGCCGCCCCCGGCCACACCUCCGCUCCUCAGGGCCGCCCCGUCAGCUCCGUCAGCUCCGAGAGGAAGGCGGUUCUCGCGAGGAAAAGGCGAGGAAAUAACGGUGCGCCACGUGGGAAACGGGGAAUGAGCGCUGACUGCAGAGCACCCCUCCGCCUCCCCGGGCAGUGCCCUUAGGAAGCUGUCACCUUGGAAGGCCGGCUGGACAGCGGCCGGAAGCAACGGCGCAGGGAGCGGCGGUCCGCGCCAUUGGCUUCACCGCCUCCUGCUUUCAGCGCCCGCGCCCGCAGGGACGCCUCGGAGUCCAUGGCGCGUUUGCUCACCCUGAGCAUCGAUUGCAUCAGGGACCCGGCACCUCGCAGCUGGGAGAGGGUGGGCCCUGGAGGGAGAGCCCGGGUGGAAAGGUGGUGCUGCUUGCACCCAGGGCUGCUGCUGUCCUUGUCCCCCCUAAUUCCCUUAGGCCCCCGCCUGGGACAUGUCACCCUGCCAGUAACCUGAGCUUUCACCAAAGUUCUCAAAACGUCCACACUGUCGCAGGGAUGGCGAACCUAUGACACACGUGUCAGAGGUGACACGCCAACUCAUUUUUUUUGGUUGAUUUUUCUUUGUUAAAUGGCAUUUAAAUAUAUAAAAUAAAUAUCAAAAAUAUAA